CUGAUCAUUCUCUGUGUCCUCAUCUGUAUCUGAUCAUUCUCUGCAUCUACCUGUUCUGGCCUGUUGCACAGCAGGGAAGUCCCUAAAAUCCUAGGAACCUGACAACGGAGGGUCUCUUCAUCUUCCUGAUAUAUGGGGUGUACAACACAGAGGUUGAACUCUCAUAAGGGAAAUAUACUUGAAGGA